rfam:Lysinibacillus macroides strain DSM 54 Scaffold5, whole genome shotgun sequence.
GCGGAAGUAGUUCAGUGGUAGAACACCACCUUGCCAAGGUGGGGGUCGCGAGUUCGAACCUCGUCUUCCGCU